rnacentral:rRNA from 1 species
UACGUAGGGGGCGAGCGUUGUCCGGAUUUACUGGGCGUAACGCGCGUGUAGGCGGCCCGUUAAGUUGGGUGUGAAAGCCCGGGGCUCAACCCCGGGACGCCGCUUCAAACUGGCGGGCUUGAGGACGGAAGAGGGGAGUGGAAUUCCUGGUGUAGCGGUGAAAUGCGUAGAGAUCAGGAGGAACACCCGUGGCGAAGGCGGCUCCCUGGUCCGUCCCUGACGCUGAGACGCGAAAGCGCGGGGAGCGAACGGG